rnacentral:rRNA from 1 species
GAGGAAACUUGUGCUAAUACCGGAUAAGUCUUUACGGAGAAAGCUUUAUGCACCAUUGGAUGAGCCUGCACUUGAUUAGUUUGUUGGUAGGGUAAUGGCCUACCAAGACUUUGAUCAAUAGCUGAUUUGAGAGGAUGAUCAGCCACAUUGGGACUGAGACACGGCCCAAACUCCUACGGGAGGCAGCAGUGGGGAAUCUUGCACAAUGGAGGAAACUCUGAUGCAGCGAUGCCGCGUGAGUGAAGAAGGCCUUUGGGUUGUAAAGCUCUUUCGUCGGGGAAGAAAAUGACUGUACCCGAAUAAGAAGGUCCGG